rnacentral:rRNA from 1 species
GAUGAACGCUGGCGGCGUGCCUAAUACAUGCAAGUCGAGCGAACAGACGAGGAGCUUGCUCCUCUGACGUUAGCGGCGGACGGGUGAGUAACACGUGGAUAACCUACCUAUAAGACUGGGAUAACUUCGGGAAACCGGAGCUAAUACCGGAUAAUAUAUUGAACUGCAUGGUUCAAUAGUGAAAGACGGUUUUGCUGUCACUUAUAGAUGGAUCCGCGCCGCAUUAGCUAGUUGGUAAGGUAACGGCUUACCAAGGCAACGAUGCGUAGCCGACCUGAGAGGGUGAUCGGCCACACGGAAACUGAGACGCGGACCAAAAUCGGACGGGAGGCAGCGGUAGGAAAUCUGCCGGAAGGGGCGAAAGCCUAACGGGGCAACGCCGCGGGAGUGAGAAGGGUCUACGGAGCGUAAAACACUGUGGUUAGAGAAGAACAAAUGUGUAAGAAACGAUGCACGUCUGAACGGUACCUAAUCAGAAGGCCACGGCAAACUAGUG